rnacentral:rRNA from 1 species
CCUACGGGUGGCAGCAGUGAGGAAUAUUGGUCAAUGGGCGCUAGCCUGAACCAGCCAAGUAGCGUGAAGGAUGACUGCCCUAUGGGUUGUAAACUUCUUUUAUCUGGGAAUAAAGUGCAGUAUGUAUACUUCUUUGCAUGUACCUUAUGAAUAAGGAUCGGCUAACUCCGUGCCAACAGCCGCGGUAAUACGGAGGAUCCGAGCGUUAUCCGGAUUUAUUGGGUUUAAAGGGAGCGUAGGCGGGUUGUUAAGUCAGUUGUGAAAGUUUGCGGCUCAACCGUAAAAUUGCAGUUGAUACUGGUAUCCUGGAGUAGAGUAGAGGUAGGCGGAAUGCGUGGUGUAGCGGUGAAAUGCUUAGAUAUCACGAAGAACCCAGAUUGCGAAGGCAGACUGCUGGACUGUAACUGACGCUGAUGCUCGAAAGUGUGGGUAUGAAACAGGAUUAGAUACCCUGUAGUC